rnacentral:rRNA from 1 species
UACGAAGGGGGCAAGCGUUGUUCGGAAUUACUGGGCGUAAAGGGCGCGUAGGCGGUGCACUAAGUCAGGCGUGAAAGCCCUGGGCUCAACCCGGGAAUUGCGCUUGAUACUGGUGCGCUUGAAUCCAGGAGAGGUUGGUGGAAUUCCCAGUGUAGAGGUGAAAUUCGUAGAGAUUGGGAAGAACACCGGUGGCGAAGGCGGCCAACUGGACUGGUAUUGACGCUGAGGCGCGAAAAGCGUGGGGAGCAAACAGG